rnacentral:rRNA from 1 species
AUUGAACGCUGGCGGCAGGCCUAACACAUGCAAGUCGAGCGAGCGGCGGACGGGGGAGUAAUGUCUGGGAACCUGCCUGAUGGAGGGGGAUAACUACUGGAAACGGUAGCUAAUACCGCCUACCCUCAGAUGUGCCCAGAUGGGAUGAGCUAGUAGGUUGGGUAACGACUCACCUAGGCGCCGAUCCCUAGCUGGUCUGCGAGGAUGACCAGCACCCUGGGACUGGAGACCGGGUCCGUACUCCUCCGGGAGGGAGCAUUGGGGAAUAUUGCACAAUGAGCGAAAGCCGGCUGCAGCCAUGCCGCGUGUGUGAAGACGGCCUUCGGGUUGUAAAGCCCUUUCAGCGGGACGGCGUUACCCGAAGAAGAAGCACCGGCUAACUCCGUGCCAGCAGCCGCGGUAAUAC